rnacentral:rRNA from 1 species
AGAGCGAACGCUGGCGGCAGGCUUAACACAUGCAAGUCGAGCGGACGUAGCAAUACGUCAGCGGCAGACGGGUGAGUAACGCGUGGGAACGUACCUUUUGGUUCGGAACAACACAGGGAAACUUGUGCUAAUACCGGAUAAGCCCUUACGGGGAAAGAUUUAUCGCCGAAAGAUCGGCCCGCGUCUGAUUAGCUAGUUGGUGGGGUAGCGGCUCACCAAGGCGACGAUCAGUAGCUGGUCUGAGAGGAUGAUCAGCCACAUUGGGACUGAGACACGGCCCAAACUCCUACGGGAGGCAGCAGUGGGGAAUAUUGGACAAUGGGCGCAAGCCUGAUCCAGCCAUGCCGCGUGAGUGAUGAAGGCCCUAGGGUUGUAAAGCUCUUUUGUGCGGGAAGAUAAUGACGGUACCGCAAGAAUAAGCCCCGGCUAACUUCGCGCCAGCAGCCGC